GCCUCUAUGGCGUAGUGGUAGCGCGUGCCACUCGUAAACAAAUAAUAGUUUCGAGUUCAUGGCAAGGUCUCUCGUUCGAUCCGGGAUGGAGGCA